UACGUAGGGGGCAAGCGUUGUCCGGAUUUAUUGGGCGUAAAGGGCGCGUAGGCGGCCACCGCAAGUCGACUGUGAAAUCUCCGGGCUUAACCCGGAAAGGUCAGCCGAUACUGCGGGGCUAGAGUGCAGAAGGGGCAACUGGAAUUCUCGGUGUAGCGGUGAAAUGCGUAGGAUAUCGAGAGGAACACCUGCGGCGAAGGCGGGUUGCUGGGCUGACACUGACGCUGAGGCGCGAAAGCUAGGGGAGCGAACGGG
rnacentral:rRNA from 1 species